rnacentral:ncRNA from 1 species
GGUCAAGCGAACAAGUGCAUGUGGUGGAUGCCUUGGCGAUCACAGGCGAUGAAGGACGCGGUAGCCUGCGAAAAGCUACGGGGAGCUGGCAAACGAGCUUUGAUCCGUAGAUGUCCGAAUGGGGAAACCCACUCCUUUUGGAGUAUCCAUGGCUGAAUACAUAGGCCAUGCGAAGCGAACGCGGUGAACUGAAACAUCUAAGUAACCGCAGGAAAAGAAAUCAACCGAGAUUCCCAAAGUAGUGGCGAGCGAAAUGGGAUGAGCCUUGCACUCUUUAUUUGUAUUGUUAGCCGAACGCUCUGGAAAGUGCGGCCAUAGCAGGUGAUAGCCC